CACAUCUUUACGACCUGUACCUAAUUCUUUCAAUUUGGUUUGUUCGAUCCCUCAUCAUUCUAUGACGUGAUUGUCAGAAAAAUUACCCUCUGUUAAUUAAUUAAUUCAGUUAUUUCCCUACACUUAUUAACAUUUUUCUUACCUUCACUGUAAUGUAGAUUUUUUUUAUGUUUACUCCAGAAGCUCCUACUUCUACGGAAAGCCGUCGACCAGGAAAAUCAAUUCUAGAAGAUCCAGUGUACACAAAAGAUAUCAUGAAUGAUUCGGAAAAUUCUCCUGAUUCGGACGAGUCACAGAGCAGUGACAGUGGAGCAAAAGAGUCCCUCCUGAAAGAUUCGUCCUUAUCAUCUAGCAGCAGCCAAGAAAAUUUGACUUCAUCUUCAUACUUACCAUGUUCGAUUGAGACAUUGGGAAGAAGAUUUGCCAGAAGAAGAAGAAGGCCAUUACAAGAAACCCCUAAACCCCUAAACCAGAAGAAUUGAUAGCCAAACUCGUCCAAUAAAUCCAUCUGGGAGUGCAAGCCAGCACGUAAAAAGAACAGACACAGUAGUUGUUGGGAAAAAAUUCAACCUUCUUCGAUGCUACUGAACGUAGAAGAAGCCAAAACUGAUGAAGAAGCUGUGGGGGAUUCGCAGGUUACACCCAACACACCAAGUAACGAAAAAAAUUUAGCUGUUUUUAUUUAAUUACAAUUUUUUUUCAAAAGAAGUAUCAAGUAACAGACCUCGUGUUGAUGAAGAGGUGCAAUCAUUAAAGUUGCAAGAAAAAAUCAAUCAAGAAAUACAUCAGCAGCAUCCGAACUAUUGAAUCAGGACUAAUACUACAGAAUGAUAGCUGCAACAUAUACAAACAGUCAAGAAACGCUGAGACGUCAAGAGGAUAUGGCACUCAAACUUAAUGCCCUUACUGAAUUCGUUUCGAAGCUAAGGUUUGACGCAGAUGAAUCGAGCGACAAAAAACAAAGCUUCAUUGCCGUAGAUAACCUAAUCGAAAAGUUCCCUAUGAACGAUUUAGCCGACUUAGAAAAUUUUGAAAGAAGGUUUAAAAGAAAGGUUCUGAACCAAGAGCUGGCUCUUGAAGAUUUGGUAUGUUGACUUUUUUGUUGUUAAUAAUAUUUAAAAAAAAAUAUUUUUUUUUUCAGUAUGCUGAUUUGAGGUUUAAA